rnacentral:rRNA from 1 species
UGAGGAAUAUUGGUCAAUGGACGAGAGUCUGAACCAGCCAAGUAGCGUGCAGGAUGACGGCCCUAUGGGUUGUAAACUGCUUUUGUUAGGGAAUAAUCGACAUUACGUGUAAUGUUUUGCAUGUACCAUUCGAAUAAGGACCGGCUAAUUCCGUGCCAGCAGCCGCGGUAAUACGGAAGGUCCAGGCGUUAUCCGGAUUUAUUGGGUUUAAAGGGAGUGUAGGCGGUUGGUUAAGCGUGUUGUGAAAUGUAGAUGCUCAACAUCUGACUUGCAGCGCGAACUGGCUGACUUGAGUACACACAACGUAGGCGGAAUUCAUGGUGUAGCGGUGAAAUGCUUAGAUAUCAUGAAGAACUCCGAUUGCGAAGGCAGCUUACGGGAGUGUUACUGACGCUUAAGCUCGAAGGUGCGGGUAUCGAACAGG